rnacentral:rRNA from 1 species
CGUCCUACGGGGGGCAGCAGUAGGGAAUCUUCGGCAAUGGACGAAAGUCUGACCGAGCAACGCCGCGUGAGUGAAGAAGGUUUUCGGAUCGUAAAACUCUGUUGGUAGAGAAGAACGUUGGUGAGAGUGGAAAGCUCAUCAAGUGACGGUAACUACCCAGAACGGGACGGCUAACUACGUGCCAGCAGCCGCGGUAAUACGUAGGUCUCGAGCGUUGUCCGGAUUUAUUGGGCGUAAUGCGAGCGC